CAUGGAAAUUCUUCAGAAAUCAGCUCAAGAAGAUGGAGAGUACAAUUAUAACAGACAGGUUGUGGAGGUUCUGAAUAGUCCACAAGUGACUUUCUUCAUUCCAUCUGAUGAAGCACUCAACAUGAUCCCAGAGCAAAAACUGAGCGAACUACAAGGGAACUUGAGGAUGAUGCUAGAUAUUGUCACACUUCACAUCAUCCCAAAACCAAGUCUUGUACACAUCAUUAGUCAAUCACAAUGAACGUUUCAAUACACAGUUCAAUUCAGGGGCUGUGGUCUUCAGGAAAAACUUUAAUAGAGAAGCAGUAUAUGUGACUGGUCAGCUUAAGGGAGGUCGUACUGUAACUGCUAAACUG
rnacentral:sRNA from 1 species